ACGGCCAGGAAGCGGCUCAGCAUGGGCGUCUGCGUGCGCGGCGUGUGGGGGCUGGGCUCCACGGUCUGGUGCUGCGCGGGGUCCUCGCUCAUCCUGCGGGCAGAGCACAACGCCACCGCGCUGAGACUCCAGACUCGCGCGGGCCGGGACACGGACUCCGACAAACAGACGACGUGAUGUGGGGAUGCACCUGCAGCGUAGGUGGACCCCAGGAAUGAAGGUUUGAGGGUCUCGGCGGCAGUGGCCAGGGUGUAGGGGAUGGCAGUGGAGGCUUCGUUCCAGUACUUGUCCUUCUCCGCAGGGGGCAGGUUCUGAUACAUGUCAUCGACAGCCAGCAGAGACACCUGGGGACACACGAGCACACUCUGUCGAUAAUUCCUGUAGAGCCUGUAACUGGGGAGACUUACAUCCAUGAGCAGCCUGAGCGCCACAUCGUCCCGGACGCGUCCCUCUCUGCG